AGCCCGGUCGUCUAGCGGCCAACCCUGGUCAGAUACCCCGGGGACGCCGGUUCGAAUCCGGCCCGGGCUACCA
rnacentral:tRNA from 2 species